CGGUACUGCCGGUCUUAAGCCGGAGGAAGGUGGGGAUGACGUCAAGUCAGCAUGGCCUUUAUGUCCUGGGCUACACACACGCUACAAUGGCCAACACAAUAGGUUGCUAAGCCGCGAGGUGGAGCCAAUCCUCAAAGUUGGUCUCAGUUCAGAUUGCAGGCUGCAACCCGCCUGCAUGAAGAUGGAGUUGCUAGUAACCGCAGGUCAGCUAUACUGCGGUGAAUACGUUCCCGGGGCUU
rnacentral:rRNA from 1 species